UUUUUUACCUAUAGUCCAUUUCCUUAUUUAUAUGAAAUACACAGAGCAAAUAGUCCCAUAUCUUCAGUUGCGCAACAAAAUAAAAGAAGAUUCAUGUACAUAUUAGAACUAAGAUUAUUCAAAUUCCAUCUCUCGGUCAUGAAAUAUAUUCUUCAGUUGCACACCAAUAGUUGUCAUUCCAGGAUAAUAUCAAAUCCAGUCUUCCACAUACCCUUUGUCCAAGACAAAAAGAAAUGCACAAAUGUUGAGCAUCAUAAGCAAUUGUUCUUGGGUCUGUACAAAGCAUACUAAGUUACUAACCCCAUUAAAAUUACAUGCAUGGAGGCGAGAUGCAAGUACAAUAAUUAACCAACUCAACUGUGUUAAUCCUCAAAAUAAAAUUCCAGAAAGAACUUGAUUUUUAAAUCUACUUCAUCAAUGCCAUGGUUUCUCAUCUACUGGUUGUGAGUAGAAAAUAGAGCAUUAAACCUAUACCCAUCCUCUGAUUAUGUACGUGUCAUGCCGGAUUACUACACUUGGAACCUUUAUAUAUAUGGGGAUAGAAUGGGGAGGGUAGGGAGGGAGCAGAGAUGGAGGUACCUAGAGGACAUGAAGGAGGUAGUAGAGGCAUUCCAUGAUUUUUUUCCAUGAUAUAGAUCACGAACACCAUUCUUUCACGCAACCACAGCAAGAUG
rnacentral:lncRNA from 1 species